AACGAACGCUGGCGGCAGACCUAACACAUGCAAGUCGAGCGCGCCCUUCGGGGUGAGCGGCGGACGGGUGAGUAACGCGUGGGAACGUGCCCUUUUCUACGGAAUAGCCUCGGGAAACUGAGAGUAAUACCGUAUACGCCCUUUGGGGGAAAGAUUUAUCGGAAAAGGAUCGGCCCGCGUUGGAUUAGGUAGUUGGUGGGGUAAUGGCCUACCAAGCCGACGAUCCAUAGCUGGUUUGAGAGGAUGAUCAGCCACACUGGGACUGAGACACGGCCCAGACUCCUACGGGAGGCAGCAGUGGGGAAUCUUAGACAAUGGGGGCAACCCUGAUCUAGCCAUGCCGCGUGAGUGAUGAAGGCCUUAGGGUUGUAAAGCUCUUUCAGCUGGGAAGAUAAUGACGGUACCAGCAGAAGAAGCCCCGGCUAACUCCGUG
rnacentral:rRNA from 1 species